GAUGAAGAACGUAGCGAAAUGCGAUAAGUAAUGUGAAUUGCAGAAUUCAGUGAAUCAUCGAAUCUUUGAACGCACAUUGCGCCCGUCAGUAUUCUGGCGGGCAUGCCUGUUCGAGCGUCAUUACGCCCCUCAAGUCCCCUGUGGACUUGGUGUUGGGGAUCGGCGAGGCUGGUUUUCCAGCACAGCCGUCCCUUAAAUUAAUUGGCGGUCUCGCCGUGGCCCUCCUCUGCGCAGUAGUAAAACACUCGCAACAGGAACCCGGCGCGGUCCACUGCCGUAAAACCCCCCAACUUUUUAUAGUUGACCUCGAAUCAGGUAGGACUACCCGCUGAACUUAAGCAUAUCAAUAAGCGGAGGA
rnacentral:misc_RNA from 1 species